GCAAAUCAGAUGCAAGAAAGAACAUCUUAAGGGUCCACUGAAGGCGGAAAAAUCCAUUCCUGACUGCAGUGGUGAAGUGGAUGCAUGGAAUCCCCAGCAAGGUCCUGGCAGGCAAGUCCUUGUUGGCCCCAAUAAAUCAAUGAUGGUGGCGGGAGACUCACUCCCUCCACGGGCUCCGCAUAAGCCAGAGCACGCAGUGGCAGACAAAGGAGGGUGAAACCAGCAUGUGUGUGCCUCUCAUAAAUGCUUUCCCUAUGUUCAUAAAUUGUCAUUUAAUUUUAAUAACAACCAAUUAGAAGAUGAUUGUGAAACCAUUAAACAGAUGAAUAAACUGAGGCUACCAGAGAUUAUGUCUUUCCCCAGGCUAUACUGCUGGUGGGUAAUCAAGCCAGGAUUACUACCCAGAUUUGUCCGACUGCAAUACUCAUAUUCUUUUUACCAGGCACCGUGCAAAGUGGUGUGCAUGUAUUUUCUCAUUUAAUCAUGAUAAAAAUCCUCAAAGAUGGAUAUUAGCAUCUCAGAUUUACAAAUAAAGAAACUGAAGCUUUGCAGAAUUCAUUAACUUGCCUGAGUUCUUGCUGUUAUGAAGUGGCAGAGGGCACUCCAACCCAAUCUCACUCCAGAGUCCAC
rnacentral:lncRNA from 1 species